rnacentral:pre_miRNA from 1 species
UCUGGGAUUGUUUAUCUUGGUAUCCAUGAGAUGAUACAAGAAUAAACAUUCCUUGAC